GUGCCAGCCACCGCGGUAAUACCGGCAGCCCGAGUGAUGGCCGAUCUUAUUGGGCCUAAAGCGUCCGUAGCUGGCCGCGCAAGUCCAUCGGAAAAUCCACCCGCCCAACGGGUGGGCGACCGGCGGAAACUGUUCGGCUUGGGGCCGGAGGACCCGAGGGGUACGUCCGGGGUAGGAGUGAAAUCCUGUAAUCCUGGACGGACCACCGAUGGCGAAAGCACUUCGAGAAAACGGAUCCGACAGUGAGGGACGAAAGCCAGGGUCUCCAACCGGAUUAGAAACCCCAGUAGUCC
rnacentral:rRNA from 1 species